rnacentral:rRNA from 1 species
AUACGUAGGGGGCGAGCGUUGUCCGGAAUGAUUGGGCGUAAAGGGCGCGUAGGCGGCCCGGUAAGUCUGGAGUGAAAGUCCUGUUUUUAAGGUGGGAAUUGCUUUGGAUACUGUCGGGCUUGAGUGCAGGAGAGGUAAGUGGAAUUCCCAGUGUAGCGGUGAAAUGCGUAGAGAUUGGGAGGAACACCAGUGGCGAAGGCGACUUACUGGACUGUAACUGACGCUGAGGCGCGAAAGUGUGGGGAGCAAACAGGAUUAGAUACCCUGGUAGUCCACACUGUAAACGAUGAAUGCUAGGUGUAGGGGGUAUCGACCCCUUCUGUGCCGCAGUCAACACAAUAAGCAUUCCGCCUGGGGAGUACGGCCGCAAGGUUGAAACUCAAAGGAAUUGACGGGG